rnacentral:rRNA from 1 species
AGAGUUUGAUCAUGGCUCAGAGCGAACGCUGGCGGCGUGCUUAACACAUGCAAGUCGAGUGCGCGUUUCCGUAGCAAUACGGAAAUGGCGCACGGCGCACGGGUGCGUAACACGUGGGUAAUCUGCCCUCUGAUGGGGAAUAACUCGCCGAAAGGCGAGCUAAUUCCGCAUAACAUUCCUUGGACUCCGGUCCGAGGAUUCAAAGGCGUAAGUCGUCGGAGGUGGAGCCCGCGCACGAUUAGCUAGUUGGUGAGGUAAUGGCUCACCAAGGCUAUGAUCGUUAGCUGGUCUGAGAGGAUGGCCAGCCACACUGGAACUGAGACACGGUCCAGACUCCUACGGGAGGCAGCAGUGGGGAAUCUUGCACAAUGGGCGAAAGCCUGAUGCAGCGACGCCGCGUGGGGGAUGAAGCUUCUCGGAGUGUAAACCCCUUUCGACCGGGACGAAUACCUCGUAAGAGGGGUGACGGUACCGGUAUAAGAAGCCCCGGCUAACUACGUGCCAGCAGCCGCGGUAAGACGUGGGGGGCCAGCGUUGCUCGGAAUUACUGGGUGUAAAGGGUUCGUAGGCGGUGUGGCAAGUCGGGAGUGAAAUCUCUGGGCUCAACCCAGGGGCUGCUUCCGAAACUGCCGUGCUAGAGUGUGGGAGAGGCGCGUGGAAUUGCAGGUGUAGCGGUGAAAUGCGUAGAUAUCUGCAGGAACACCCGUGGCGAAAGCGGCGCGCUGGACCACUACUGACGCUGAGGAACGAAAGCUAGGGGAGCAAACAGGAUUAGAUACCCUAGUAGUCC